AGGACGAACGCUGGCGGCGUGCUUAACACAUGCAAGUCGAGCGGAAAGGCCCUUCGGGGUACUCGAGCGGCGAACGGGUGAGUAACACGUGAGUAAUCUGCCCCUAGCUCUGGGAUAGCUCCGGGAAACCGGGAUUAAUACCAGAUACGACCACUUUAGACAUCUGUUGUGGUGGAAAGAAUUUCGGCUAGGGAUGAGCUCGCGGCCUAUCAGCUUGUUGGUGAGGUAACGGCUCACCAAGGCGACGACGGGUAGCCGGCCUGAGAGGGCGACCGGCCACACUGGGACUGAGACACGGCCCAGACUCCUACGGGAGGCAGCAGUGGGGAAUAUUGCGCAAUGGGCGAAAGCCUGACGCAGCGACGCCGCGUGGGGGAUGAAGGCCUUCGGGUUGUAAACCCCUUUCAGCAGGGACGAAGCGAAAGUGACGGUACCUGCAGAAGAAGCGCCGGCUAACGUACGUGCCAGCAGCCGCGGUAA
rnacentral:rRNA from 1 species